CCUACGGGAGGCUGCAGUGAGGAAUAUUGGACAAUGGGGGGAACCCUGAUCCAGCCAUGCCGCGUGUGUGAAGAAGGCCCUCGGGUUGUAAAGCACUUUCAGUGAGGAAGAACGCCUGGUGGUUAAUACCCAUCAGGAAAGACAUCACUCACAGAAGAAGCACCGGCUAACUCCGUGCCAGCAGCCGCGGUAAUACGGAGGGUGCGAGCGUUAAUCGGAAUUACUGGGCGUAAAGCGCGCGUAGGUGGCUUGAUAAGCCGGUUGUGAAAGCCCCGGGCUCAACCUGGGAACGGCAUCCGGAACUGUCAAGCUAGAGUGCAGGAGAGGAAGGUAGAAUUCCCGGUGUAGCGGUGAAAUGCGUAGAGAUCGGGAGGAAUACCAGUGGCGAAGGCGGCCUUCUGGACUGACACUGACACUGAGGUGCGAAAGCGUGGGUAGCAAACAGGAUUAGAUACCCGUGUAGUC
rnacentral:rRNA from 1 species